AGCUAGUGGCAAACUUUCCACAGGACCAGCUAGUAAAUGUUUGAAGUUUUUCAGGCUUCAUAGGUCUGUGCCACAACUAAUCAUCAGUGGAUAAUAAUGAAAACAAAUGGGCAUGCCUAUGUGUCAUUAAGAUUUUAAGGACACCAAAAUUUGAAUUUCAUAUAAGUUUAUGUGUCACAGUGUUUAUGUCUCACAGAAACAGAUACCAGGCGGGAUUUGUCUCACAGGCCACAGGUUGCCAAGGUCUGCUGUAACAGCUGAUAUUUCACAGCUUUCAAGGCAGAGACCACAGCCUAUGAGACUGUUCUUUUUAAUCUACCAGUCGCAAGUUUUAGUUUUUACCUUUGUCUCGGUUCUGUAAUGAUGAGCGUGUCAUCUUACUAUUCUUUACUCCCAAAGAUCUGGGAUAGCUGCCAUAUUUUUAACAUAUUGUACUUUUUAGAAGUAAGACUGCUUUUUGUCAGAUGACACACUACAUACUGAAUUGUCAGAACUGUGCCUGGUGACCAGGCACAGAUUCCUGACCUUCUGUGUUCCAGCCCUGGGGUGCUCUUCCUACUUGCCUUCUUCACUUGUGAGAUAGACUGCACCUUAACAGCCCUCUUUCCAAACUUUGAGGACAAUUUGCACGAUAAUGAUUGGUCCCGGGAAACUUUUACUCCUCUUUUAGAUAACUGGAUUAUACCAGCCUUUAAACUGGUACUCAGCCCCACAAAAAACUUUUAGCAGAGUUUUACAUUGCUGCUCGAUCUUUUACAUUGUUACUGCUCACUACAGCUUGGCACCAAACAUCUCCCAUAUGCCUAGGAAGUUAAUUUCACUUCCGUAAAAAGAAGUUUAUUAUGUAUGUAUAUGGUUUGAGCAGUAGCGUAUAUUUGUUUCAUUACAUUACUCUUGUUGCAAUGCUCUUUUUCAUUGACUAUUCCAUGUUGUCAUGUCAUACCAAUUUCUGGCUAUCCUUAGUAUUGUCAUCAGUUAUUGUCAGUGCUAUAAAAUCAGAGCCAAGCCCACUCUUAAUUUUUACAUUCUAGACUCUCACUAGGGAAUCUACAGCUAUGAAGAAAAUCAGAACAGUUAAGAGGGGGCAGUGUACCCUAUAGGGGCUCUCUGGUUUUGCCUCUCUGUGAAAAACUAUUUUGAGAUUAGUUCUUGUUAAUGUCACUGUAUCUUCUUAAGAGAUCACACUGUGGAAGUCAACUCACUAAAAGUACCAGGAGACUAAACUCUGUUCAUUCAUUUUGCCUAGAACCACCAAUUUUUUACUUGUCCUAAUUUACUGUAUUCUCUGUCUCCCCAGCUCAUUUAUCUUUGAAUUUUCACCAUUUACUGAAUUCUAGAUAUGAAAAUCAUCUGAUAAAAAUUGUCCAAACAGAUUUAACAUCUGCCACUUAAUGUGAUUAGUUUCUUCUAAGUUCCAUCAGGUUUAUGCUCUAGUUUUGUUUUCCUCUUGUAUGGAAACCUACUUUUUUGUUACAUCAUAAUAGGAUAUCUGUAGAAAAGUACCUCAAUUGAGAAGGGAGAUUUGACAUUAACCCUGCAGCACUGAUCUUCAAGUGUGGGUAUAGGAGAUAUAUUAAAACACCUAAGUGGUUUUUUUCAGGUGACACUUGCUUUUUCCAGGUGAGAUUAAAUAUUGGAUUCAGCCAUUGUUACUAACAAGAAUGUAUUGGGUCAGGAAAAAAAAGACUGAUUAAUGAUGAACAUACAGUUUUCUCUCCUAAUGGAUAACUCACUUCCAAUAGAAUACCAUCCUGAUUUUCUUUUUGCUCUGGCCCACACGUGAUGGUGGUCUUAAAACUAUAAAAAAACAUAAUAAGACAGUCACAGCAUCCAAGAAAUGAGAUUAUCUUUGGAGACAGCAUUAUGACCAACUUAUGAUUUCUGCAUUAUAUUUUUUGUUAAGAUUUAUUUUUAAUAAUUGAGAAUAUGGCUUUUUUAAUUAGAAAAAAAAGGAAAGGUAAAUUUUGGGGUUUGUUGACAGUUACCAACCACUGGUUAGUUACCCUGCCAAAUGACAGCUGCAUUCCUAUUGCAAGUAUUAUUUUCUGCUGCCUUUUAUUGGCACAGUGAAAAACAAGGUUUAGUUGCUUUCCACUCAAUGCUCUACUUACUACUGAUGGAAAAUAUGUCAUGCCAGCUUCUCUCUGUGUUAGCUAAUAGAUGCCAUCAUAAGUGGUCAAAUAGGGCAUCUCAACCAUCAUCCUGAAGAAAACUUUCUAGUUUUCUCCCUAAGGAAAUAGCUAGGCAUCAUGGUGGGUUUGUGCUUCUUUUGAUUUUUCAUGCAUUGCACUUUGGGUAAUGUGGUGGCAUCGCCCUAGUAUCUAGUGGUUAUGUGCCUGCCACUGGUGUAACUUGUGUCUUUACACACAUGGAAACUGGGUCCCUCUAUAUCUCUGAAGCUUUUCUGUGCAAAUUCCCAGGUAUAGAGUUAACAGAUAGAUCUAUAGGAACUAUAAAGUAUGUCCCAGUUCAGCUAUACUGUCUAAACAAAAUUUGAUUACAAAUUGUAGAGGCAAGAAAAUUUUGAAUGAUAUUAAAUUUGAAAACUCUUGAUUUUGCUAUAAAGUGUUAGAUAAAAUCACAAGGAUAUUCAAAUUAAGUGAUUUUUCUGGAGAAGCCUUCAUAUAUGAGGAAACUGAGACAUGGAAAUUUAAAUGAUAUACUUGACACUGAUUAGCAACAUGUUACUAAUUAGUUAUGGACCCAGUUACUUACAGAGCAGAAUCUAAGGUCUUUGUCAUUUCUG